rnacentral:rRNA from 1 species
AUUGAACUCUGGCGGCAGGCCUAACACAUGCAAGUCGAACGAGUGGAGGACGGGUGAGACAUGUCUGGGAAACUGCCUGAUGGAGGGGGGUAACUACUGGAAACGGUAGAUACUACCGCACACCAUCGGAUGUGCCCUGAUGGGCUGAGCUAGUAGGUGGGGUAACGGCUCACCUAGGCGAAGAUCCCUAGCUGGGCUGAGAGGAUGACCAGCCACACUGGAACUGAGAGACGGUCCAGACUCCUACGGGUGGCCGGAGGGGGGAAUAUUGGACAAUGGGCGCAAGCCUGAUGCAGCCAUGCGGCGUGUAUGAAGAAGGCCUUCGGGUUGUAAAGUACUUUUAGCGGGGAGGCGUUACCCUCAGAAGAAGUACCGGCGAACUCUGUGCCAGCAGCCGCGGUAAUAC